rnacentral:rRNA from 1 species
UACGUAGGGAGCAAGCGUUGUCCGGAAUCAUUGGGCGUAAAGCGCGCGUAGGCGGCCCGAUAAGUCCGCUGUGAAAGUCCAGGGCUCAACCCUGGAAUGCCGGUGGAUACUGUCGGGCUAGAGUCCGGAAGGGGCGAGUGGAAUUCCUGGUGUAGCGGUGAAAUGCGCAGAUAUCAGGAGGAACACCAAUAGCGAAGGCAGCUCGCUGGGACGGUACUGACGCUAAGGCGCGAAAGCGUGGGGAGCGAACAGG